UACGUAGGAUGCAAGCGUUGUCCGGAAUUAUUGGGCGUAAAGAGCGCGCAGGCGGUAUGACAAGUCAGAUGUGAAAGAGGCCGGCUUAACCGGCAAGGGUCAUUUGAAACUGUCAGACUAGAGUGCAGCAGAGGAUAGUGGAAUUCCCGGUGUAGUGGUGAAAAUGCGUAGAUAUCGGGAGGAACACCAGUGGCGAAGGCGACACACUGGCCCGUUACUGACGCUGAGGCGCGAAAGCGUGGGGAGCAAACAGG
rnacentral:rRNA from 1 species